rnacentral:siRNA from 1 species
GCUUGACCGGAAUGUCCACCUUGC